GUGACAGCCGGAACGCUCGACGAGGGAGAAAACCCGUUUGGCUUGAUAUUUUGCCCUGCGGGCGGAAAGACUUAGCAGAUGCAAAACAAGACAUCUGUUUGCUUUUCUGUCAGGAAAAUAAGGGAGUUAAAAAGUUUGAAAAUAUUUUUUUUCCUAUGGAGUAUGUUAUCUGAACACUAUGGAUAAUCGUGAGAAAGAACAUUUAUUAGCUUUGAAAGUGAUGAGGCUUACCAGACCAUCACUUUAUACGACACAACCUGUAGCUAGUGAUUCUAGGUAUUUUACAUGCAAUUUAUUGAAUGCUGCCUUGAAACAGGAUUUUGGCUCCCCAGAGAAUUUAGAAUAUUUUAGCUCAGGGAACUUAUUAAUGUUACCACAAAGUUUUGGGUAAUA